GCCUCGGUAGUGUAGUGGAUCAGCACGGCAGACCGGAUAUCUGUAAGUGCGGGUUCGAGUCCCGUCUGAGGUU
rnacentral:tRNA from 1 species